ACAUAAUCUUAAAAUCUUUCCAUCUUAGAAAACUCUUUCCAAGUAUUUUUGUGUGUGUGUUUUUAACCUAUAAAAGAUAAUGGAACAUAUUUUAUAGACUGGAUUUUAUCUUAUCCCCUUUCCCUCUCCCAACUGCACUCAAUUUAAUAGUUGUCAGUUUCUCCUCGGUGUUGGAUUUAAUUAUAUAGGACCGAAAUAUUCUUCAGUAAAUUAGUUUGCUGAAUAUUGUCACUUUUGUUAUUCUGCCUUUGAGAAACAGCUCAAUUACAGAAAUCUAUGU
rfam:Myotis brandtii contig172915, whole genome shotgun sequence.